CGAAAAGAACUGAAUUAAUCCAAUCAUUGAAAUAAUUUUGUUUGCAGAGGCAAUUCGCGCAAGGGAGAUAGGAAUUUGAUGGCUUGCGAGUGACAGCACGAGCCGAAUUUAUUGCCCGUGGAAGUACCCACGAUAGGAAUACACUGUUGGGAACAUGGUGGCGCCGCUGACGGUACCUAUGUAAGUGGAAUUACUUUAUUGGAAGUACCCACGACGGGGAAAAUAGUCUCUCUAGUAUUGUCGGUGAAUGGUGAUGGUGGUGGUGGCGAUGGCUACUUUCCUCUGCUCAGAGAGAACCCCUGCAUGUCCUUCGUCGUGAUGCGAAAGAGCAGUGGAUGCAGAAAAUGUCUCUACCUGCCAGGAUGGUAUAAGAGCACGAACUGAAUCACCUGUUGGUGCAGAAGGCUUGGAGGACUGCUUUUGAAACAGUUGUUCAAAUUUCCUGCACCUCUUCGUAGCCGUUGUCUGAUUGCUGCAUUCUGGGGAGACUGAAGUUAAGAAGCCCUCACCGAAACCAACACUACGUUGCUGUGUUGUUUUCUUCUAAGGUCGGGCACAGUAAAGGAGACGACUCUGUAUCAAGGCACUACCCAGAGGGAGGAUGUUGGCCUUCUCCUGAUGGGAAAAUGUCUUCUUUCUCAUGGCGUGGCCAGGACUGCACUGACCCUACCAUCCACUCUACCUCUCCGGAAAGGGACUUGACAACCAGUCAAGAUGGAUGUGCAGAGAUAUACCAGCGCUUCUAGCAUUAACUGCCAAUUUGCACUGACGCAGCAAGACUCCCAACAGUCAAAAAAUGUCUCUACCUGCCAGGAUGGUAUAAGAGCACGAACUGAAUCACCUGUUGGUGCAGAAGGCUUGGAGGACUGCUUUUGAAACAGUUGUUCAAAUUUCCUGCACCUCUUCGUAGCCGUUGUCUGAUUGCUGCAUUCUGGGGAGACUGAAGUUAAGAAGCCCUCACCGAAACCAACACUACGUUGCUGUGUUGUUUUCUUCUAAGGUCGGGCACAGUAAAGGAGACGACUCUGUAUCAAGGCACUACCCAGAGGGAGGAUGUUGGCCUUCUCCUGAUGGGAAAAUGUCUUCUUUCUCAUGGCGUGGCCAGGACUGCACUGACCCUACCAUCCACUCUACCUCUCCGGAAAGGGACUUGACAACCAGUCAAGAUGGAUGUGCAGAGAUAUACCAGCGCUUCUAGCAUUAACUGCCAAUUUGCACUGACGCAGCAAGACUCCCAACAGUCAAAAAGAAUAAUAUAGACGUGCAGAAAAUGUAGGAGAGCGAUGACAUCAGAAGGACACUCUCAGGUUCAGGGUACCUGUACUGCCCCAAUAAAGUGGGUCAGAUCCCAAAACGAGGUUGGCCGAAGCAAAAAAAUAGAAGAGCCUGCCUUGAAUCGAAUAUGAGGAAGAAGAAGAAGAAGAAGACAAAGAAAGAGAAAGAGUAGGAAUUUGUUUGUGUAAACUUUGUUUCCUCUGUCUAGGCCAUCGCAUUAUAGCAGCCAACAGUGUGUGUGUGUGUGUGUGUGUG